GGGCACUGUAGAGGCGGGCACUGCAGAGGCCGUAGAGGCGGGCACUGCAGAGGCUGUAGAGGAGGGCACUGCAGAGGCUGCAGAGGCGGGCACUGUAGAGGCGGGCACUGCAGAGGCUGUAGAGGCGGGCACUGCAGAGGCUGUAGAGGCGGGCACUGCAGAGGCGGGCACUGUAGAGGCUGGCACUGCAGAGGAGGGCACUGCAGAGGAGGGCACUGCAGAGGCUGGCACUGUA